CUUGGUGGCCAUACUCAUCACUGCAAGUGCCCAAUCCUGUCAGAUCUUGGAAGCUAAGUAGGGCUGGGCCUGGUUAGUACUUGGGCUGUUAGACUCAGCUACUGAGGUUGCAGAAGCCAGUGCAGCCUUAGUGU
rnacentral:rRNA from 12 species